UACGUAGGGCGCAAGCGUUGUCCGGAAUUAUUGGGCGUAAAGAGCUCGUAGGCGGUUUGUCGCGUCUGCUGUGAAAACCUAAGGCUCAACCUUGGGCUUGCAGUGGGGUACGGGCAGACUAGAGUGCGGUAGGGGUGACUGGAAUUCCUGGUGUAGCGGUGGAAUGCGCAGAUAUCAGGAGGAACACCGAUGGCGAAGGCAGGUCACUGGGCCGCAACUGACGCUGGAGGAAGCGGAAAGCAUGGGGAGCGAACAG
rnacentral:rRNA from 1 species